GGAAGGUGCAGCCGGGCAAACCUGACAGGAACACUGCAGUGAUUUUCAGGCAUAUCUGCAUUUCUGAUUUGUUUAUGGCUUGGACUUGGACCAUGCCUGCUCCUGUUUGAACAGUUGGACUCACCUUUGUGUGGACACUUGUUUCUCCUUGGAUCUAUUUUUCCUCAUGGUCGUAGAUGUGUUCCUGGCUCUCCUCCUGUUAUGUAUGCAGAUGUCCGUGAUGAUCCCAACUCCAGCAAUCCUGAACUCUACCCUGCAUCCCAGCCUGCCAAGACAACUCCUGUAAUGUGGACUAGUUGCCAUUACGUCUCAGUACCAUGCUCGCCAGUUCUGUCCUCCAGCACCUCGCCACCUGCCACAGCUCCUUGCCAGCAGUAAAUGACACCUCUACUACUCAAUUGCUUCACCCUCAGGUGUGCCCGUCACUGCCAUCCUUCAGAAUACAGAUGCCAGCGCACAUCAACCAUCUCUCCUGUUUCCUGCAGAGGAGCAUUCUCCCUGCUUUUCUGGGCAGCCUAGCUAUGCCUGGGUCAUACAGUGCCACCAGCACCUCCUCCUCUGCUCAAGCAUCUUCCCCAUGCCUGCUUCCAGCUGUCCAGUCAGUUCCCUUUCCCUUCUGUGUUCAUGCAGCUGCAUGUGUGCACUUAGCCUUCCCUGUCCUCUGUUCAAUAAAUACCAUUCAUAG